rnacentral:lncRNA from 9 species
AUGGAAAACACUGGCCCCGAUGACCCAAACCAAGACAGCCCGAGGCCAUGCCUCACCUUGGGAUCUCUCCUGCCACCUCCGCCAGAGGAGGGGUCUCGGCCCCACGCAGCCUGGCCUGGCCUUCGGCUUCCACCCUAUAAGGGAGACCCAAGAGACAAGGUGACACCCACAGUGAGACGCCAUCGACUGGGCUCCUCGGGCGGUCGGCGCUGCCCCGUUGGGCUCGAGGAUGGAAAGGCAGGAAGAGAAAGGCCCCGUUUCCUUGCGAGUGGACCUCAGAGUUCCAGACACACAUUAUUCGUCAUCGAUGCCUCAUACGCUGGCAUUGAUCAUCAUCGAUCCAGAAAAGGGGGACCUUCUCUUCCUUCGCCAUGGCCCGUGGAGUCAGGCAUUCCUCCCCGCACGGCCACUGGGCAACCCAAGGGGCCCGCCCCACCCAACGAGGCCUCGCCAUCCCUCGGGGGGGCCUCUAGGACCCGUCCCCUGGCUUUCGGUCUCUCUGGGCCGCGGAGGACCAGCUGGGCCCCUGUGCAGGACGUCCAAGAGACCUUCCUAGCCAGAGCUGUCCCGUCCCUGGGACGCCAGAGCCCUUCUGGACUGCUGGCCUCGCCCGCAUCUGCCGCCCACCCUCCACCAGCCCCUCGCACUGCCCUGCCCAGCCCAGCCCCGACAAGCCCUGGGAUGCUGCUCACACUGGUCCCCUGGCUCCAAAGACAACGCUGCCAUCCUCGCCUGCUCAUCCAGGAAGGAGCCGGCCUUCGGGCCUGGCGGCUGCCUGCUGAAGAGUACAAAGCCAAGAGCAGGAGACCCAGUGGCACAGCCAUUCUCCAGGCUCACGGCUUCCUCAUUCACGCCUCCAUCGGGGCAACCCUGCUGGCAGGGCACAGCCCUGUCUCGGGACACCCACCAACCACCAGCUGGCCGCCCAGCCCCGGGACAGAGGUGGGCCCUCCCUGACCCUGCCUACCUCACCCUUGCCCCACGGCCUCAGCCUCGGGGACAUCAGCCCAAGACCUCUGGCCAACCUGCAGCCCAUGGCAUGGCAAGAGGCAGACCAUGGGGGGUGGGGUCACCAGGGAUCUGGCGCCUUGGGAAUGCCGGCCCUCCCUCGCUCUCCUCCUUCAGUUCUGGCAGGCUGGUCCACAGGGGCUCCCACUGGCCCACUGGGCGAAUGCAAGCACCAGGAGGGC